rnacentral:rRNA from 1 species
GAACUUUCCAGAGAUGGACUGGUGCCUUCGGGAACUGUGAGACAGGUGCUGCAUGGCUGUCGUCAGCUCGUGUUGUGAAAUGUUGGGUUAAGUCCCGCAACGAGCGCAACCCUUAUCCUUUGUUGCCAGCGAUUAGGUCGGGAACUCAAAGGAGACUGCCAGUGAUAAACUGGAGGAAGGUGGGGAUGACGUCAAGUCAUCAUGGCCCUUACGACCAGGGCUACACACGUGCUACAAUGGCGCAUACAAAGAGAAGCGACCUCGCGAGAGCAAGCGGACCUCAUAAAGUGCGUCGUAGUCCGGAUUGGAGUCUGCAACUCGACUCCAUGAAGUCGGAAUCGCUAGUAAUCGUGGAUCAGAAUGCCACGGUGAAUACGUUCCCGGGCCUUGUACACACCGCCCGUCACACCAUGGGAGUGGGUUGCAAAAGAAGUAGGUAGCUUAACCUUCGGGAGGGCGCUUACCACUUUGUGAUUCAUGACUGGGGUGAAGUCGUAACAAGGUAACCGUAGGGGAACCUGCGGUUGGA